UACGGGGGGGGCAAGCGUUGUUCGGAAUUACUGGGCGUAAAGGGCUCGUAGGCGGCUAACUAAGUCAGACGUGAAAUCCCUCGGCUUAACCGGGGAACUGCGUCUGAUACUGGAUGGCUAGAGUUUGGGAGAGGGAUGCGGAAUUCCAGGUGUAGCGGUGAAAUGCGUAGAUAUCUGGAGGAACACCGGUGGCGAAGGCGGCAUCCUGGACCAACACUGACGCUGAGGAGCGAAAGCCAGGGGAGCAAACGGG
rnacentral:rRNA from 1 species